rnacentral:rRNA from 1 species
AUUGAACGCUGGCGGCAGGCCUAACACAUGCAAGUCGAGCGGAUGAAGGGAGCUUGCUCCUGGAUUCAGCGGCGGACGGGUGAGUAAUGCCUAGGAAUCUGCCUGGUAGUGGGGGAUAACGUCCGGAAACGGGCGCUAAUACCGCAUACGUCCUGAGGGAGAAAGUGGGGGAUCUUCGGACCUCACGCUAUCAGAUGAGCCUAGGUCGGAUUAGCUAGUUGGUGGGGUAGAGGCCUACCAAGGCGACGAUCCGUAACUGGCCUGAGAGGAUGAUCAGUCACACUGGAACUGAGACACGGUCCAGACUCCUACGGGAGGCAGCAGUGGGGAAUAUUGGACAAUGGGCGAAAGCCUGAUCCAGCCAUGCCGCGUGUGUGAAGAAGGUCUUCGGAUUGUAAAGCACUUUAAGUUGGGAGGAAGGGCAGUAAGUUAAUACCUUGCUGUUUUGACGUUACCAACAGAAUAAGCACCGGCUAACUUCGUG